UACGGGGGGGGCAAGCGUUGUUCGGAAUUACUGGGCGUAUAGGGCGCGUAGGCGGUGCUCUAAGUUAGAUGUGAAAACUCUGGGCUCAACCCAGAGCCUGCAUCUAAAACUGGAGUGCUAGAGUUCUGGAGGGGGUAGCGGAAUUCCUGGUGUAGCGGUGAAAUGCGUAGAUAUCCGGAGGAACACCGACGGCGCAGGCAGCGUCCUGGCCGCUUGCUGACACUGAGGCACGAAAGCUGGGGGAGCAAACAGG
rnacentral:rRNA from 1 species